UCCACCAUAAGGCUCAAUAGACCGACAUCAUGAAACCAGUCGGUAAGGGAAUUAUUUUUAAUUCUCUAAUUCUCCUUCUUGCUAGCGGUGGCCGACUCUAAUCAAAUCAAGGGAAUCCAAUCAACCCUUGAUAAGUUGAAUUUAAGUAAAACUCUAGUAGGCUGGAGCUAUUUUUAUGCGACGGGUUGAGCUAAGAUCAAGGGAUAAGAACAGAUUUUGUUUUAAAUUAUUGGAGGUUAAUUUUAUUCUAUAAAAGGAGGGGAAGAAGCAAUAUCGAUGGGAGAGAUUUUUCGUAGGCAUAAUUCGGGUUACUCAGUCCAGGAAUUUGUGAACCAGCACGCGCCGAUCAAGCAGCUGGAAAGCAGUCCAAAAAUUCAGCUCGUCGAGAGGAGGAAGGCUCGACACUUAAGAGCAGUUUUCCAUACGAGAUUGGCUCGAAAUUCAUGUUGUCUUCAAUUAAUUUCUGUUCUGUUCUCCUUACUAUGAGUGGCUGAAUUAUUUCCGCUUAGUUAGGCACUCAUGAAGCCAAGUACAAGUUGAUUCAAAGACAUGCUUUGUUCUAAUUCCAAGUUCGGUAUUCUUUAAUUGUUUGUUUCUAUCGUUCAAGGAAAUUUUCUAAAUUAAUUUGAUUAAUCACCUAUUUAAUUUAGGAAUUUUCUUAUAAUCAUCUAAGUGCAAAUUGAAUAAUCGAAUUUUUUAAUUAAACUUAGAAUUGGUGAUGAUUAAUUGGCCUGUAGCUAAUUUAAACAACUACGGAUUUAAUUUUAGAAGCCGCUGGUGGAUUUUCUAUGGUUAAUGCUAGGUGAAGUCUCUAAAAUACUAAAUGCACAUUUAAUAAGUCGAUGAAGAGAUAAUUAAAGGUAGGUUUUCAGUUAUGAAUGUUCUCUAAUUGAAUAAAAAUUUACUGGGGAUAGGAAGUCGCUUCGUAAGUGAUUUUUCAGCCUUGCUGCCGAAUUAGUCUACUAGGAUAAUUUAAGGUCGCAAAGGACUUGUGCUUGGCGGAUUAAGGAGUCAAUAACUAAGUAUUCUUUCUCUUUAUUUUGAUAAUUUUUAGCAUUCAUAAUUGAAAUUUAAACUUGUUCGUUACUUAGGUUAUUUUUAGCAAACAUAGAAGCAUAAUUCCCCCUUUUUCUUUCUUGCAUGCGUUUCACAUUACCUUAAUUUCAAUUCUCUUCAAAUAGGUUUAAUGCGAGCUUCUUUGUGGGACGAUUCCCUAUUUACUCUAUAUUACCAGUUAAUAUUGGUUGAAUAGCGAAUUUAAUUCGGUAGUCAAGUAGGGUAUACCAAGAGUACUAAAACACCUAGCGCCUAUAAAUUAAGCCCUUCUCAUAGGGAGUUCUCUCAUCGAUUAUUCUUUUUGUUAAGUCUCUGUUCUAAACCAAAGUUCUUAGAAACCAAGGUAAGCAUAUAUUUUGCAAGGGUUAUUUUUCCAGAAAGCUAGGUUCGCUUGUAUGUCUAAAUUUUGUGUGUUUCGUUUGUUACGUAAUUUGUGUAUGUUUAUGUAUGUUGCGAACUAGCCAAACCAUCUGUUAGUAAGGAAAAAGGAAAUUUUUUUUAAAAUUCUUAUCUAAUCGGUGAGUGUUUAGGGAUCGCCAUUUGUGUACGAACCAUUGUAUUUUCAGGAGCUUAGGGUUUUUCUUUAAAAAAAAAAACUAAGUUCUAAGAGUAAGUUUUCUAUAAACUCUGUUUCCAAAAUAUGUGACUAUGUUUUUAAAGAUAUGUUUUAUGUGUUCUUUUAAGCAAGCUUAUCUUUUAAAUAUUUUAAAGAUAUGUUUUAAAAGCUUGAUUUUACAAACUAUGUUUUUUGCGAGCUUUCUAUACGAGCUCCUCAUAUGAGCCCUAUGUUGGAUAUAUUGGCAUGUCAAAAGAUUGUGAGUACUCACCUAUAAGUUCUAUGAUUUGGGCGUUGAGGCCAUGUGACAUGUGGAGAGAUAAGCGACUGUCGAGCUAUGCUCCAUUCAAAGUGGCAUGUUAGUGUACAGGUAAGUAGUUCGCGAAAGGCAGUGGCAAGGUGAUUAAUCCAAGUAAGGCUAAUUAGGAUGGGUACCAGUGAGCACUGAAAAAAGGCAAUGUGGUUAUAUUGCUUAGAAUUAGUGAUACUGUGUCUAAUGACUUUGCUAUUUUUGUUAGACCAAAUUUUUCCUUAAGUUUAUUUAUUUUUUUAUUUGUUUUUGUUUUUGUGAACCAUGGAGUUAAAUACUUGUUUGUUUGAUUUUGUUGAAUUCCUUCACUAUGUAUAAAGAACUAAAGUUUAUUUAUCCAUCCUUUUGUGCA